GACGAAGGUGGCAAGCGUUGCUCGGAAUCACUGGGCAUAAAGCGCGCGUAGGUGGCUUGAUAAGUCGAUGGUGAAAUCCCAUGGCUCAACCAUGGAACUGCCGUCGAUACUGUCAGGCUUGAGGGCGGUAGGGGAGAGUGGAACUCCUGGUGUAGCGGUGAAAUGCGUAGAUAUCAGGAGGAACGCCGGUGGCGAAAGCGACUCUCUGGGCCGUUCCUGACACUAAAGUGCGAAAGCUAGGGGAGCAAACAGG
rnacentral:rRNA from 1 species